CGACGGAAUGAGCGGCGGACGGGUGAGUAACACGUAAAGAACCUGCCCUCAGGUCUGGGAUAACCACGAGAAAUCGGGGCUAAUACCGGAUAGGUCAUCGAACCGCAUGGUUCGAGGAUGAAAGGCGCUUCGGCGUCGCCUGGGGAUGGCUUUGCGGUGCAUUAGCUAGUUGGUGGGGUAAUGGCCCACCAAGGCGACGAUGCAUAGCCGACCUGAGAGGGUGAUCGGCCACACUGGGACUGAGACACGGCCCAGACUCCUACGGGAGGCAGCAGUAGGGAAUCUUCCACAAUGGACGAAAGUCUGAUGGAGCAACGCCGCGUGAGUGAUGAAGGUUUUCGGAUCGUAAAACUCUGUUGUAAGGGAAGAACAGGUAUGAGAGGUAAUGCUCAUGCUAUGACGGUACCUUACGAGAAAGCCACGGCUAACUACGUGCCAGCAGCCGCGGUAAUACGUAGGUGGCAAGCGUUGUCCGGAAUUAUUGGGCGUAAAGCGCGCGCAGGCGGCCUUUUAAGUCUGAUGUGAAAGCCCCCGGCUCA
rnacentral:rRNA from 1 species